GCAUAUCAAUAAGCGGAGGAAAAGAAACCAACAGGGAUUGCCCUAGUAACGGCGAGUGAAGCGGCAACAGCUCAAAUUUGAAAUCUGGCUCUCGGGCCCGAGUUGUAAUUUGUAGAGGAUACUUUUGAUGCGGUGCCUUCCGAGUUCCCUGGAACGGGACGCCAUAGAGGGUGAGAGCCCCGUCUGGUUGGAUGCCAAAUCUCUGUAAAGUUCCUUCAACGAGUCGAGUAGUUUGGGAAUGCUGCUCUAAAUGGGAGGUAUAUGUCUUCUAAAGCUAAAUACCGGCCAGAGACCGAUAGCGCACAAGUAGAGUGAUCGAAAGAUGAAAAGCACUUUGAAAAGAGAGUUAAAAAGUACGUGAAAUUGUUGAAAGGGAAGCGUUUAUGACCAGACUUGGGCUUGGUUAAUCAUCUGGGGUUCUCCCCAGUGCACUUUUCCAGUCCAGGCCAGCAUCAGUUUUCCCCGGGGGAUAAAGGCGGCGGGAAUGUGGCUCUCUUCGGGGAGUGUUAUAGCCCACCGUGUAAUACCCUGGGGGGGACUGAGGUUCGCGCAUCUGCAAGGAUGCUGGCGUAAUGGUCAUCAACGACCCGUCUUGAAACACGGACCAAGGAGUCGUCUUCGUAUGCGAGUGUUCGGGUGUCAAACCCCUACGCGUAAUGAAAGUGAACGCAGGUGAGAGCUUCGGCGCAUCAUCGACCGAUCCUGAUGUUCUCGGAUGGAUUUGAGUAAGAGCAUACGGGGCCGGACCCGAAAGAAGGUGAACUAUGCCUGUAUAGGGUGAAGCCAGAGGAAACUCUGGUGGAGGCUCGCAGCGGUUCUGACGUGCAAAUCGAUCGUCAAAUAUGGGCAUGGGGGCGAAAGACUAAUCGAACCUUCUAGUAGCUGGUUCCGCCGAGU
rnacentral:rRNA from 1 species